AAUGUGUAGUACUGAGGGAAUGUUGUGAGGGCCAAUUAAAAAAGGUGCACUAUGUUUUUGAAAGUACGGAGUCUUUCAUACUUUCAGGUCGUUUUCGAUGUUGCGACUUUCGAAUCGUCGAUCGGCUCCAUUAAACUUGAUCUAGAGUAUUUGAAGUAAUUAGAAAAUAAAUUUUAUGAUUUUUCGAUAUCAUUUGCCUAGUAAUCGAAGGGGCUCAAAAUCAAUAAUUUUAAUAGUCGUAGUGAGCCGUUUGCAAGUUUAACGGUGUAGAAAUAUUCAAAUCACGUAAAAUUUUGAUAGAAAAUUUUUUAUAUUAUAUAAAAUAAGAUCAAUAUCUUUAAUAUAAAAUUUUAAUGUCAUAUUAUCAUGUCUUGUAAGAUUUUUAUUUUCAGCCGUUGAUUUUGAGCCCCUUCGUUCACUAGGCAAAUAAUAUCGAAAAAUAGCAUAAUUUAUUUUCUAGAUACUUCAAAUACUCUAGAUCAAGUUUAACGGAGCCGAUC
rnacentral:lncRNA from 1 species